ACGUAGGGUGCGAGCGUUAAUCGGAAUUACUGGGCGUAAAGGGUGUGCAGGCGGUUUUGCAAGAUGGAUGUGAAAGCCCCGGGCUUAACCUGGGAAAGCCAUACAUGACUGCAAGACUAGAGUGCGUCAGAGGGGGGUGGAAUUCCAAGUGUAGCAGUGAAAUGCGUAGAUAUUUGGAAGAACACCGAUGGCGAAGGCAGCCCCCUGGGACGUAACUGACGCUCAUACACGAAAGCGUGGGGAGCAAACAG
rnacentral:rRNA from 1 species